AUUAAAACGGUCCUGUUUCUGAAUAGAGGUCGUUUGAAAGCGCCUCAAAAUCCUUAUUUCCAAACCCUCUCCCUGUCUCUCUUCACACCCCUAUUUCCAAACCCUACACAAAGUCGAUCUAUUCUCACAACUCCAAGGUGACUCUCUCUCUCUCUCUCUCUCUCUCUCUCUCUCUCUCUAAACCCUAAUUUCAGUCUUAGAGGAUCGAAUCAAUACAAAGUUCUCUCUCUCGAUUCCUCUUCAGCAUGGUGAUUCCUCUUAGUGAUUCAUCUCAGAGUGAUUGAGAUUUUGAUUUUGAAGUUCUCUCUCUCUCUCUCUCUCUCUUUCUCUAUUGUGAGCACCACCUUAUACAAUCUUAGAAAAAUUGAUCGAAUCCUUCAAAACCUUCUUUAGCUCGGUGAUUCCAGUUGUGGUGUUCGUCUUUUUGGAUUUGGAGCUCUUCGUCGUCUUCGAUCAGUGAGAUCAGAGCUUUUGGUAAUGCAAUUACCCUCAAGAAGCUCAUCAGGAAGGGGAUUCCACCGGUUUUAUGGACUAAGGCAGCUAAUGGAUGUUCCCUAAGAUUCGGUUUGUUGGGUUGACUCCCCGUGACUAUCU